rnacentral:rRNA from 1 species
AGUGAACGCUGGCGGUAGGCCUAACACAUGCAAGUCGAACGGCAGCACAGUAAGAGCUUCCUUUACGGGUGGCGGGGUGCGGGCGGGGGGGGAAUUCAACGGAAUCUUCUUUUUUGUUGGGGAAUACGUAGGGAAACCUACGGUUAUUCCGCAUACCACCUACGGGUUGAAAGCAGGGAACUUUGGAACCUUCGCGGAUGGAUUGGCCGAUGUCGGAUUAGCUAGUUGGCGGGGUAAAGGCCCACCAAGGCGACGAUCCGUAGCUGGUCUGAGAGGAUGAUCAGCCACACUGGAACUGAGACACGGUCCAGACUCCUACGGGAGGCAGCAGUGGGGAAUAUUGGACAAUGGGCGCAAGCCUGAUCCAGCCAUACCGCGUGGGUGAAGAAGGCCUUCGGGUUGUAAAGCCCUUUUGUUGGGAAAGAAAGGCAGCAGGUUAAUACCCCGCUGUUCUGACGGUACCCAAAGAAUAAGCACCGGCUAACUUCGUG